AAAUGAAAAUUUGCACGUUGUACUUGAAAUUCAAGCCAACUUUUUACCUAAAGAGAACAAAAUGUUUAUGGGAAGUGAGAACCGUGAUUCAGAAUAUGCAGACUAUUUUAUAUAUGGUCUGAUGGUAAGGUCGGAGAUGAACCCAAGGAUAAGCGCCAAAUAAUUGGAAAGCGACUGUAAAUGGAAGCGCAUGGAAUAAAUCUGAUAAAAGAAAUCAGUAUUAUCUUAGUCAAUUCGGAGAUCGUUUUGCUGAUUUAAAUUUUGGUAAUACAAAUGUACGCAACAUCUUUGCUGAGGCACUUGAAAACUUAGUUAACACUGGAAUAUCUGGAAUAAAAUUACGUUAUGCAAAACAUCUGCUGAUUGAUGAGACUUUAAUGGAUGAGGCUUUCAGCUCUGCUCCUGGAUUUGUUCAUAAUGAUUAUGGAUU